rnacentral:rRNA from 1 species
AGAGUUCGAUUAUGGCUCAGGACGAACGCUGGCGGCGCGCCUAACACAUGCAAGUCGAACGAGUGAGAGAGAGCUUGCUUUCUCGAGCGAGUGGCGAACGGGUGAGUAACGCGUGAGGAACCUGCCUCAAAGAGGGGGACAACAGUUGGAAACGACUGCUAAUACCGCAUAAGCCCACGGUGCCGCAUGGCACAGAGGGAAAAGGAGCAAUCCGCUUUGAGAUGGCCUCGCGUCCGAUUAGCUAGUUGGUGAGGUAACGGCCCACCAAGGCAACGAUCGGUAGCCGGACUGAGAGGUUGAACGGCCACAUUGGGACUGAGACACGGCCCAG